rnacentral:misc_RNA from 1 species
GGGAGAUUAAAAGACAAUGUGAAUUUUUAGGUGAUAAAGGGAAUAAUUA